rnacentral:rRNA from 1 species
UACAUGGGGUGCAAACGUUGCUCGGAAUUAUUGGGCGUAAAGCGCGCGUAGGCGGUUACUCAAGUCGGAUGUGAAAGCCCUCGGCUUAACUGAGGAAGUGCACCCGAAACUGAGUAGCUAGAGUACUAAAGAGGGUCGCGGAAUUCCCGGUGUAGAGGUGAAAUUCGUAGAUAUCGGGAGGAACACCGGUGGCGAAGGCGGCUUCCUGGACCGACACUGACGCUGAGGCGCGAAAGCUAGGGGAGCAAACGGG